GACCCCAGGUCAGGCGGGACUACCCGCUGAAUUUAAGCAUAUCAAAAAGCGGGGAGGAAA
rnacentral:rRNA from 1 species